GCUGGCGGCGUGCCUAACACAUGCAAGUCGAGCGGAGUUAACAAGAGGAAGUUUUCGGAUGGAAUUUUGUUAAUUUAGCGGCGGACGGGUGAGUAACGCGUGAGCGACCAACCUUGCACAGGGGGAUAACGGACCGAAAGGUUCACUAAUACCGCAUGAGACCACGGUGUUGCAUGACACAGAGGUCAAAGGAGCAAUCCGGUGCAAGACGGGCUCGCGUCCGAUUAGGUAGUUGGUGGGGUAAUGGCCCACCAAGCCUAUGAUCGGUAGCCGACCUGAGAGGGUGAUCGGCCACAUUGGAACUGAGAUACGGUCCAAACUCCUACGGGAGGCAGCAGUGGGGAAUAUUGGGCAAUGGGGGGAAACCCUGACCCAGCAACGCCGCGUGAAGGAAGAAGGUUUUCGGAUUGUAAACUUCUGUCCUUGGUGAAGAGAAGAAGACGGUAGCCAAGGAGGAAGCCCCGGCUAACUACGUGCCAGCCGCUGC
rnacentral:rRNA from 1 species